GAAUGGGCUGGAUUGCUUGGCUGGGAGCUCCUUGCUCAAUAGAGAGCUGUUCAAAUUCUUGUACCGGAGCAGGAGGAUCCGGCAUCUGAGUAGGACUCACCUCAGCCGGUGUAGGCUGAGAAGACACCGCUUGAUAAGUUGGUAAGGUAGCUUGAUGCAGCUCGGGAACUGAUUGUCUCUGCGGCAGUCCAGCAGAGGAUGCACCUCCACGGCCACCACCACGAGGAGGUCCUCCUCUUGGUCCACCGUACUGUUGGUGCUGCUGUUGUGGUGGCUGGCCUUCUCUUGAUCCACCAUACUGUUGCUGUGAUGGUGGCUGGCCUCCUCUUGGUCCACUGUACUGCUGCUGUUGUGGUGGUUGACCUCCUCUUGGUCCACCGUACUGCUGCUGUUGUGGUGGUUGGCCACCUCUUGGUCCACCGUACUGCUGUUGCUGCUGUUGUGGUGUAUGGCCUUCUCUAGGACCACCGUACUGCUGCUGUUGUGGUUGGCCAUAUCCACGACCACCACCACGACCUCCCGGUUGAGACUGAGGACUAUAACCUCUUCCACCUUGCUGCUGUCCUGCUCCUCCUCCUCCUCCUCUCCCCUGCUGAUAUCCACCACCUGAGGCUGGAGCAGCAUCACGGGAACCAGAUGCUUCACCUCCUUCAGAUGGACCAUCAGUUCUCUUCUUCCUCACCAUAAUGAAUCCUGAGAAAACAAACACUGAGUCGCAAAAACAUAGAAAAUCCACCUUCAGAAACCAAUAAAACUACACUCAUAAAUAUAAAUUUCGACAUGAUUUUCUGAAUGUUAAAGGAAAUACAGGAAACACAAUACAUGUUACUUAGCAAGCAAAUCAAGCAGGAAACACAUUCAGAAGCCGCUCAACUCUUACAAAAAGAUCAAAUUUCGAAAUUAUUCUUAACAAAUUCAACCAUUUGAGAGAAAGAAACAAUAGUACAAUUGCUGUAAACUACCAACAUUUUACCCCAAAAAAAAACUAUCAACACCAGCACAAACCCUUAAAAAUCAAAAACGAACGAUACCCGCAAGAUAUCUUUUUCACGUUCUUGGGGGCGCUGACAAGUCACCUUCAGAAGAGCAGUGAUCUGUCUCUCGUUCAACCUUUUUGAGUACCUCUGUCCCUCAACAAUCUUGCAGACCUGUACAGCAACAGAAAAUUAGCAUAUGAAGUAUUGGUCAGCUAACAGUAAUUGAUGACGAACUUCCAGGUUACCUCCAUUGGUAAAUAAUUUGGCCUGUUAGAAUUCCCAACUUGCAAGCAUGGUAGCUGCGUGUGCUGAAUGCGAAAGCCAUAUGUUUCGUAGAAGUAUUCAACAACAGAUUUCUGGGUAUUUCUUUCAUCCACAGGAAAUCUGAAAGUACAAUACAAAAAAAAAUAGAAACAUAAACUUCUCCUGGUUCAGCAUUCACGAAAUAGUAGUUCGCAAAGCUAAACAAACACUUACGUCAGUUCUCGAGUGGCCACAGCGGUCAGCCCCGAAAUGCGGUACUUUCGGCGCAUGUUUCCUCUAUGGGUCACUUCAACCUUCACACCUCUAAGCGCCUUUUUUAUCUGGCACAGAACAAGAUUCGAAGUCAGUAAACACAGGAAGGUUAAGAAUGCACCAUUUCACUUCAGUUAUGGAAGCAUAACAGGAAAUGACAGCUGAACCAGACCUUGACACGAUCAGCAUCGGAUAAAGGCCGGGAUCUAAUAUCCCUAUUCAGCAACUCGCAGACAAAUUCGGUAACAGGAAGUGCCUCUAUGAAUGCUGUAGAUGACAUAUCUACAAAAAAAAACAAGAUUGCAUCACAAGCAUGAGCUGGGACAACAAUAUAAAAUUUAUUAUUGAAAGUUUAGUGAACGUAAUGCAGAAAGCCAUCGCACCAAUGUUGAGGGACAAGCCCAUCUGUGUGGGACGAAUGCUUUGAUAGAAUCCACGCCAGCUCUCCAGGCCAUCCCCCAAUGAUUGCUUUCUUCCUAUAUCCGGAGAAUAAAAUGACCGGCCCACAGGAGUAUACCUCUCUCUAACAUGUUAGCAAAACUAAAAGAGCUGAGCCAUGUAAGCAUAGCAGUUUUGAGUAAAAACAUCCACUAGAUGAGUGAACCUACUUUGAAGUUGGCAGCUCACGAAGAACAAUGUCAAGAACCUGAAGAGCCUCCUGCGGGGCAUCAGCUUGCUUCCCCUGUAAAAACAAUCCUAGGUGAUGUAGAUCAGCACGGGCAGCUAGCUUGAUCACAACUUUGAACUCCCUUUCUCGUCUGUAAAAGAAAAAUAUUUUUUUACUCCGAAAAUUCCUUAAAAGGAUAAAGAUAAUAACUAUAUAUGAACUAACCUUUGUCCCCCAGCCCCUUCUUCCUCGUCCUGAAGUAAGAUUCUGAAUUCUUUCGAAACAAACGGAAGCGGUCCAGCAGUGUACAGACUUUUUCGCCCAUCAUAUGCAGGAAGACGCCUUCCAAGAUGUGUUUCACGAUACAAGUCAACCAACUGUUUCAUCACAGCACGAUUGACACCCCUUGAUGUAACUUCUGGAGUAAUGGUUACCUGCAAACACACAAAAACAAGACAGCAUUAGAUGCACUGUAGCUAAAGUAUAAAAACAAGGGAACAAGCACAUCAAAACUUACGUCAUACUGGUGCAAAUCUUUAUCAGGUAACUCGGCAAAGAAGUGGUUGGCCUUUACAAUGCAUCGCUUGCCAAUCUGUCCUUUACCAGGCCUCAGUGGAAACUUACAAGCUUUGCUGGAAGAUGGAAUGGGCUGGAUUGCUUGGCUGGGAGCUCCUUGCUCAAUAGAGAGCUGUUCAAAUUCUUGUACCGGAGCAGGAGGAUCCGGCAUCUGAGUAGGCCUCACCUCAGACGGUGUAGGCUGAGAAGACACCGCUUGAUAAGUUGGUAAGGUAGCUUGAUGCAGCUCGGGAACUGAUUGUCUCUGCGGCAGUCCAGCAGAGGAUGCACCUCCACGGCCACCACCACGAGGAGGUCCUCCUCUUGGUCCACCGUACUGUUGGUGCUGCUGUUGUGGUGGCUGGCUUUCUCUUGGUCCACCAUACUGUUGCUGUGAUGGUGGCUGGCCUCCUCUUGGUCCACUGUACUGCUGCUGUUGUGGUGGUUGACCUCCUCUUGGUCCACCGUACUGCUGCUGUUGUGGUGGUUGGCCACCUCUUGGUCCACCGUACUGCUGUUGCUGCUGUUGUGGUGUAUGGCCUUCUCUAGGACCACCGUACUGCUGCUGUUGUGGUUGGCCAUAUCCACGACCACCACCACGACCUCCCGGUUGAGACUGAGGACUAUAACCUCUUCCACCUUGCUGCUGUCCUGC
rnacentral:lncRNA from 1 species